CUGGGUCUUUAUGUCCAGGCCACAGUGCUCAUCUGUAUCCUUGGAAGGAAGGACUGAUCACCACCCCUCCACACCCCCAGAUAAAAAGAAAAAUAUGUUUAUUUGGAACUGGGAGGCUAACGCACAAUUAAGUCUUACUCUUAUUUUGUCACAUAGACAGAGCAGGAUUUUCUAGAGGGAUGGACAGCCCCAGCCUCCCUCCCUCUGGCACUGCAUGAAAAAGAUGUGAAGAAUUCAAGGAUGAAUUUAAGGGUGAGGAUCCAUCUCCACAAGCGCGAAGAAAGCAGCCCUGUGACUGCUAAAACAGCCGCGUGCUCCACGUUGCACUGCAUUCCCAACGGUACCCAACAGGUGGGGUUGGUGGGGGAAGGAAGGGGAUAUCUGACUGCAACCACCAAACUAACCCUAGUGAAUGGUCCUAAGUAAAACGUCACCUUAACAAACGUCACCUUACCUUCAGGACAGACAGCAGGAGUCCAUCAAGUCCACUUGCGGGGCACAAGGCAGACUCAGCUGUAUCUGGAUUAUUCCCCACAGAUGUUUGCCUGAGCUGCUCUUGAAAAGGCCCCUUGAGAGAGGCCCCACCACCCCUCCCGGUGCCUCACUCUUGUGGGGAGGUUUCCUUCAGGUCUCCCACCGGAUUCACUGCCAUCAUUGGAGUUCCUCACCUCCAGCUGUGCAGGGUUAUUCUCCCCACCUCCCCUUCCCACCUAUUGGAAACUACCUGCCACGUUCAUCUUGUCUCAACAGAGACGAUCUUUCUCCCAGCCUGCCACUUUGUAGAUUUCACUAUUUCCACUGCUGGCCUACGAGCCGGGAAUUGUGCCCAAAAAGGGAUGCAGCACUGCUACCAUGAGUGCUCACUUCUGCUGUCUCCUCUCAGCUCCUGCUUCACCAGGACCCUGACCCGCUUCAGCAGCCAUCUCCAUGGGCUGUGGCUGCCCUCCCACAGGCUGGUGCAAGUCAAACAGCCCUUUGUAAAGGGGGGCAGGGGUGAGUUCGACUGGCUGCCCACCUGGAUUUGGGCUGUACGUGGCUCCCUUGCCUGAGCAAUUGCAUCUCUGUUUCAGUAUGUCCUGCAAAGCAGGCGAAAGGUGGCAACUUCAAUUUUUGAUAAUCAGAUUAAAAGCUGUGUAUGGACUGCUCAGCUCCGCCUGGGAGGGAGAUGGGAGCUGGCGUGUGUGCUGCUCUGCUGUUAGCAGAGGUGCAGGGUGAAUCCCUUGAUCUCCAGCAGUGCUUCAAGCACCCCAGGGCACGUGAACCGAACUGUUCUGUCUAGCAGCCGGGUCUGGAGGCCUGCUCGCAGUCCCGAGGCGCUACGACCUCAAAAACCUGCCAGGCACCUCCACGCACGUACCUUGUCUCAGCAAGGCUGUGAGAGGUGGGCAUGGGGGUGUGGGAGUGUGUCACAAAGUCACCUAACUCCUGCCUCUAGUGACUUUCAAGCAAAUGCCAAAUACCUGAGGUUUUGCAAUUCAAUAGAAACGACUUAGCAAAAAUGGACUUAAGUGCAAUGUGAUUAGCAUAUGGACUUUCCUCUAGCUGUUGCGUGCAUUGAAAGAUCUCUUAAACAUGUUGGAGCAUGUGUGUCUCAGUGCACUAACAUCACACCUUUUGUCUUGGUCUAGACAAGCCUUUUCUUUAGCUUUCCAACCACUCCAUCAGAAAUUCCACACCCUGAGGAGAGCAGUGCCCUAGAAGUGUCCUCACCAAAUUGCAAAAUCCACGGCCCAUCUUCCUCAUGGAAGAGAGAGCCUUUCCCAUUUGUAACAGAUUUUCAGCACAGUACAGAGCUUCCUCAGCAGAACUUGAGCAGCUACAGCAGAAACAGAUCCUACAGAGAGAAGGAGAGAUUUAGAAAUGAGGGUUGCUGGUGCAUGCCUGCUCGGUGACUUGAUUUUGUUGGGUGUUCCUUAACCACAGGCAUAAAAAUAUGCAUCACAAAGAAAACAGGACAGAAGGGAGAGAAGGGAGAAGAAAGCCAGUCCUUCAGUCUUCCCGGGGAACAAAAGGGGCCCUUUUGCUUCUGCAGCUUCCUGCAGCAGAGUGCCAGCUUCAUCUGCAUGCUGCUGCUCCUGUGCUUUUUGUUGCACGUACAGUUUGCCAACCUUUGUUGGUUAAAUGACGGGAAAGAUAUGUUCUUACUACGUGUACUCAGACACUGUGGAAAAUGUGAUAGCUCACAGAAUAGACCUCUGCCAGAGCAUUAAAUAAAUAAAUAAAUAAAUAAAAAAUAAAAAAAAUA
rnacentral:lncRNA from 1 species